AGAGUUUGAUCCUGGCUCAGGACGAACGUUGGCGGCGUGCUUAACACAUGCAAGUCGAGCGGUUGAGAGGUGGGAGGUGAGAGGUUAGACGUGGGAGAAAGGAACGGGUGAGUAACGCGUGGAUAAUCUGCCUGUAAGACAGGGAUAACGCCGGGAAACCGGUGCUAAUACCCGAUAACCUCUUUGGACCGCAUGGUUUGAAGAGAAAAGGUGGCCUCUUUACAAUGCUACCGCUUACAGAUGAAUCCGCGUCUGAUUAGUUAAGGCCUACCAAAGCAACGAUGCGUAGCCGACCUGAGAGGGUGAACGGCCACACUGGGACUGAGACACGGCCCAGACUCCUACGGGAGGCAGCAGUGAGGAAUUUUCCACAAUGGGCGCAAGCCUUAUGGAGCGACGCCGCGUGAGGGAUGACGGCCUUCGGGUUGUAAAGCUCUGUUGUAAGGGAAGAAAUGUUUGAUGGUACCUUGAGAGGAAGCCACGGCUAACUACGUGCCAGCAGCCGCGGUAAUACGUAGGUGGCAAGCGUUGUCCGGAAUUACUGGGCGUAAAGGGCGAGUAGGUGGUUUGCUAAGUCAAAAGUGAAAACUCCAGGCUCAACUUGGAGACUGCUUCUGAAACUGGUAGACUUGAGUGCAAGAGAGGGAAGUGGAAUUCCUAGUGUAGCGGUGAAAUGCGUAGAUAUGUGGAGGAACACCAGUGGCGAAGGCGACUCUUUGGCCGAAAACUGACACUGAGGCGCGAAAGCGUGGGGAUCAAACAGGAUUAGAUACCCUGGUAGUCCACGCCGUAAACGAUGAGUGCUAGGUGUAGGGGGUAUCGACUCCCUCUGUGCCGCAGUUAACGCAUUAAGCACUCCGCCUGGGGAGUACGGUCGCAAGACUAAAACUCAAAGGAAUUGACGGGGGCCCGCACAAGCAGCGGAGCAUGUGGUUUAAUUCGACGCAACGCGAAGAACCUUACCAGGGCUUGACAUCCUGUGACAGCUAUAGAAAUAUAGUCUUCUUAGUUUACUAAGACACAGAGACAGGUGGUGCAUGGUUGUCGUCAGCUCGUGUCGUGAGAUGUUGGGUUAAGUCCCGCAACGAGCGCAACCCUUGUAUUUAGUUGCUAACAAGUGGGGUUGAGCACUCUAGCUGAACUGCCGUUGACAAAACGGAGGAAGGUGGGGAUGACGUCAAAUCAUCAUGCCCCUUAUGUCUUGGGCUACACACGUGCUACAAUGGCCAGUACAGACGGAAGCGAAGCCGCGAGGUGGAGCCAAACCGAGAAAGAGGGCCCUCAGUUCAGAUUGUAGGCUGCAACUCGCCUACAUGAAGUCGGAAUCGCUAGUAAUCGCAGGUCAGCAUACUGCGGUGAAUACGUUCCCGGGCCUUGUACACACCGCCCGUCACACCACGAAAGUUGGCAACACCCGAAGCCGGUGACUUAACCCGUAAGGGAGAGAGCCGUCGAAGGUGGGGUUAGUAAUUGGGGUGAAGUCGUAACAAGGUAACCC
rnacentral:rRNA from 1 species